CCACAGAAGCAUUCAAGGAAGCUAUUUGGAUACAGGGAUUGCUGCAAGAGUUGAGAACGAUCAAGGGUAAAUGAAUUAUCUACUCAGAUAGCCUUUCUUCAAUACAUUUAUGCAAAAAUCCUGUGUACCAUGAUAGAAGCAAACACAUUGACAUAAGGUUGUUUUGGAUCCGUGAGAAAAUUGAAGAUAAGAUUUUGGAGCUUGAGAAAGUUCCUACAGAAGAGAAUCCAGCAGACCUUAGGACUAAGGUCCUUACACUCAGUAAGCUGAAACACUGCCUAAGCUUAUUGAGUAUUGGUGAUCUGUGAUUGAAAAUGGAGUAUACCACCAAAAUUAUAUGUUACUGUUCGGGUUAAGACUAGAAGAAAUAAGGUGGAAAUUGUAGUAUAUUUUAUUUCUCCUACUCUUAACCUUGUCUUAUUUCUUUAUUGACUAAAACAACUCAACAACAGAACCAACACGUCACACUUACACCAAACAAGUUGGUCUUAUAAAUAGAGACUUAACUGGUUUUGACAAAACAUAUAUUUUUUUUUUGAUAAAGAGAUUAGACCGAGAGAAAGAGUGAGAACUUGUAUCAAGAGAGAGAGAGUGACUUAAAACUGUUAGAAAUUUGAGUGUUUGGAUGUAAUGGUGUACAGGGUGUGAGAAAGAGAGUUUGUACAGUGUGAAGUUUCUGUUCUCCUUGACUGUGUAUAGUGUAAUCUCUCUGUUCUUGUUGAUCAGGAAAGGCCUUUUGGUGGUGCUCUUAAACUGGAUGUAGGAUCAGGAAACUGAUCUGAACCAGUAUAAAUCCUUGCCUUUUCUUCUUUGUUUUUCUUGUUCUGCCAUUUGCUAUUUGUUUUUGUUACUCUGUUUUGUUGUUGUGUGCUCUGUUGGUGUUUGAGAAAUUGUGCAGGUGAGUCUUUGUGUUGAUUUGAGUCAACAGAGGAAGAAAUGAUUUCCUUGGAACCUCAUUCAUUUUAUCUUCCUGCUGCUACACUACGCUGAGAACUUAAACUUCAAGAUUUCUUUUUACACUUGAUAAGAAUAUGAGAAAGAAAACCCAUUAUUAGCCUGAUCCAAGAUAAUUUUGGAGGAAGGGGAAGAAGAACAGUUUCAUUACAUUGUGCUGAGUUGGUAUUUGUUAGCCUAGAAAAGUUGCUUUUUUUUCUUCCUCUGUAAUGUAUAGUUGUUCUUUUCAUUUAGGUACUGUACUGAUCAAGUUUUUUUCUCAGACCAUACCAUUUUUUUUUUGUUUUUAUGAAAUUUACAUGAUACCUGUUCAAGUUUCAGUUUACUGGGUUUGAAUAA